GUCGAGCGGUAGCACAGAGAGCUUGCUCUCGGGUGACGAGCGGCGGACGGGCGAUUAAUGUCUGGGAAACUGCCCGAUGGAGGGGGAUAACUACUGGAUACGGUAGCUAAUACCGCAUAACGUCGCAAGACCAAAGUGGGGGACCUUCGGGCCUCACACCAUCGGAUGUGCCCAGAUGGGAUUAGCUAGUAGGUGAGGUAAUGGCUCACCUAGGCGACGAUCCCUAGCUGGUCUGAGAGGAUGACCAGCCACACUGGAACUGAGACACGGUCCAGACUCCUACGGGAGGCAGCAGUGGGGAAUAUUGCACAAUGGGCGCAAGCCUGAUGCAGCCAUGCCGCGUGUAUGAAGAAGGCCUUCGGGUUGUAAAGUACUUUCAGCGAGGAGGAAGGCGUUAAGGUUAAUAACCUCACCGAUUGACGUUACCCGCAGAAGAAGCACCGGCUAACUCCGUGCCAGCAGCCGCGGUAAUACGGAGGGUGCAAGCGUUAAUCGGAAUUACUGGGCGUAAAGCGCACGCAGGCGGUCUGUCAAGUCGGAUGUGAAAUCCCCGGGCUCAACCUGGGAACUGCAUUCGAAACUGGCAGGCUAGAGUCUUGUAGAGGGGGGUAGAAUUCCAGGUGUAGCGGUGAAAUGCGUAGAGAUCUGGAGGAAUACCGGUGGCGAAGGCGGCCCCCUGGACAAAGACUGACGCUCAAGUGCGAAAGCGUGGGGAGCAAACAGGAUUAGAUACCCUGGUAGUCCACGCCGUAAACGAUGUCGACUUGGAGGAUGUGCCCCUGAGGCGUGGGCUCCGGAGCUAACGCGUUAAGUCGACCGCCUGGGGGAGUACGGGCCCCAAGGUUAAAA
rnacentral:rRNA from 1 species